AUCUGUUGACUCGAAAAGAUGGCGGGUGCUUGAGGUUAUGCAUGAGCAUAAUCACUUAUUAGGUGCCAAAAUUUAUAAAUCUGUUAAGAAGAUGGGCUCCGGAGCGAAAAGUAAGUUGCAAUCGAGUUCUGAUGCUGAAGUGCGAACCGUCAA